UACGUAGGGUGCGAGCGUUAAUCGGAAUUACUGGGCGUAAAGCGUGCGCAGGCGGUGAUGUAAGACAGAUGUGAAAUCCCCGGGCUCAACCUGGGAACUGCAUUUGUGACUGCAUCGCUGGAGUGCGGCAGAGGGGGAUGGAAUUCCGCGUGUAGCAGUGAAAUGCGUAGAUAUGCGGAGGAACACCGAUGGCGAAGGCAAUCCCCUGGGCCUGCACUGACGCUCAUGCACGAAAGCGUGGGGAUCAAACAGG
rnacentral:rRNA from 1 species